UGCUGAAAAAUAUGUCUGUCCUCUAUAUAUACCCUGUAGAUCCGAAUUUGUGUUGACAAAGUUGUGGUCACAAAUUCGUAUCUAGGGGAGUAUGUAGUCGACACAAACGCUACAACAUUCA
rnacentral:precursor_RNA from 17 species